rnacentral:rRNA from 1 species
UACAGAGGGUGCAAGCGUUAAUCGGAAUUACUGGGCGUAAAGCGUGCGUAGGCGGUUAUGUAAGUCAGGUGUGAAAGCCCAGGGCUCAACCUUGGAAUUGCAUUUGAGACUGCAUAGCUAGGGUGCGGAAGAGGGAAGCGGAAUUUCCGGUGUAGCGGUGAAAUGCGUAGAUAUCGGAAGGAACACCAGUGGCGAAAGCGGCUUCCUGGUCCAGCACCGACGUUCAGGCACGAAAGCGUGGGGAGCAAACAGG